AAAAACUUAAUUCCUGAAUUUCCGUGUCUAACGUUUGAUUGUUCGUCUUAUUUUAAAAAAUUAUAAAAAAAUUUAAAAAGUAAGCCAUGUAUAAAGUAUUAUUCAUGUUUUAUCAUUUAACAAUAAUGAAAAUACUAAUUAUACAAAAAUUUUAUAUAAGACGGACGGUCAAACAUCAGACACGGAAACC
rnacentral:pre_miRNA from 1 species